rnacentral:rRNA from 1 species
CAGUAGCCACGGUAAUACGUAGGUGGCAAGCGUUGUCCGGAAUUAUUGGGCGUAAAGGGCUCGCAGGCGGUUUCUUAAGUCUGAUGUGAAAGCCCCCGGCUCAACCGGGGAGGGUCAUUGGAAACUGGGAAACUUGAGUGCAGAAGAGGAGAGUGGAAUUCCACGUAUAGCGGUGAAAUGCGUAGAGAUGUGGAGGAACACCAGUGGCGAAGGCGACUCUCUGGUCUGUAAUUGACGCUGAGGAGCGAAAGCGUGGGGAGCGAACAGGAUUAGAUACCCCCGUAGUCCCUGUCUCUUAUAC